UCCUCCCUCUUUCUUCGUGCUUAACACAUGCAAGUCGAACGGAAAGGCCCUGCUUUUGUGGGGUGCUCGAGUGGCGAACGGGUGAGUAACACGUGAGUAACCUGCCCUUGACUUUGGGAUAACUUCAGGAGACUGGGGCUAAUACCGGAUAGGAGCUCCUGCUGCAUGGUGGGGGUUGGAAAGUUUCGGCGGUUGGGGAUGGACUCGCGGCUUAUCAGCUUGUUGGUGGGGUAGUGGCUUACCAAGGCCUUGACGGGUAGCCGGCCUGAGAGGGUGACCGGCCACAUUGGGACUGAGAUACGGCCCAGACUCCUACGGGAGGCAGCAGUGGGGAAUAUUGCACAAUGGGCGGAAGCCUGAUGCAGCAACGCCGCGUGCGGGAUGACGGCCUUCGGGUUGUAAACCGCUUUCGCCUGUGACGAAGCGUGAGUGACGGUAAUGGGUAAAGAAGCACCGGCUAACUACGUG
rnacentral:rRNA from 1 species